rnacentral:lncRNA from 1 species
UCUGGUCCUUUAGUGACUCUGGAAGAUAAAAUAGGGAUUAUUAUCCCCAUUUUCCAGAUCAGCAAGCUGAGAGGGAGGUCCAUGAUCAUUCAGCUGGUUCACUGCGAGGCCAGAACUCAGGCACAAUGAUCAGUCAUUUCCUCCUGGGAUGAGAAUCUGUUGAGCUCCUGCUCUGGACAUAAUGGGGUUCUGAGAGCUGGGGCAAAGGGAGGAGAAAACACAGAAACAUCCCUUUCUUGCAGCAGAGCUGGGACAAAGUGAUGAGAAAAGAUGCAAAUAUCCCUUUCCCGCAGCAGAGUUGGGGCAGGACAAUAAGCACAGUCGAGAAAGGGGUGGUGGGCAGAACUCGCUCACUGCAGCCUCGAAAACUAGAGCAAAGACUAAGGACUCCGAGUUGGUGAGGGAUUUUCCGCCCCAGCCAGGAAUUUUUCCACUUUGCAUUCCCUCCCUGAGCCACACGUUGUGCCCAGGAACGCUGUCUGGGAAGAUGAAUGGGCGACAUGUCAGAAGCUGAGGCUUUCUUGGCUGGCCCCGGCCAGCAGUUGGUGUCACCUUGCCCCAGGGUGGCUUCUGAGCGGCAGCAGAACAGAGGCCGAAGCUGAGCCCAGGCGCUGGCCCUCCUCACCAGGCGUCUGAUCCCAGGAAACAGAAGGAUGUCUGCGUCACCGCAAGAAAAUCUUAAUGAGCACUAGGAAUGGAAACAGUGGGGGUGAGAUUUUAAUUAGCAGAAGGGACCGUGAGGGCGGAGGGGCUGCCCAUUCUCGCAUGAGUGCAACCACCAGAGCCAGGUCACCAUCGGCCCCCGAGUGCCCACUGAGUGCCCACCACCCCUCACCUCUGGACCCUGUGGCUUCGCAGCGAAGCUGGCUGUGCAAACACCCUCCUUUCUCUCACUCUCACUUCCUGGGUCCUUCUCUUUACCUUGAUGCCCACAUGCUCAGAUCACAACCUCCUCUCUGUGCCAGGGUCCCCUCAGUCCAACCCAUGGACUUUCCUUCUUCUAUUUCUUUUGUCUCCAGCUCCCUCUCAAUAUGCCCCGACCCCGCUUCCCUGCCCUCCUUCCUUAUGCGGAGGCCGGCCCGCAGCCUGUCACCCAUUUAUCAAUGCAUUCGAACUGUAACUCAGGUAUUGAUCUGUGUUUGUUGGUUUUUUUCCUGUAAACUCAGGCUGUAAAGGUUUCAUUAGCCUGCCUCACAGUCAUUACAUCAAGUAAUAGGAAACAUCCAUCUUCCCCUGGCUUUACUUCUGCACCCAAUGGAGAUCGGUUUGAAGAGCGUUAAUCAAGCUAUGAAAAUCAUUGGCAGCUCAUUCCUUUAUGAUGAAAAAGCUGGUCUGCGGCGUCACUGGGCAGCAGAGGCCUGACGGCUUAGAUACCUACAGCAAUUAUGGGCUGAGGGGCUUCCUGCUUAGGGAGAAUGUUUUUUGGCCUCAUGCUGGUAUGCAAAUCUCAUCCUCUGCCUUAAAGUGAUUCUCCGAGUCACGUGCACUUAGAACAAGGCAGGACAAGCUGGGCUCCUCUGCAGAUUGUGCGCAGAGGGAGGUUGUCAGCCACUGCCUUGGGUCCCGGCCCCGGCCAGAUCUGUGCAGAGGUGGGGAGCAAGCCCUCCAAGGGGUGUCCUGUGGGCAGCGGGAGCUCAGCUGCCAUGGACUUGUCCACGCAGAAGCUGUUCCAGGGGCAGCUCAAUUCUUCAAAGACUGUUCUGGCUGCCCAGGGGUUAGAGGAGGUGGUACAGGGGUGAAGGGGGGGAGGGAGGAGAAACAGGAGCCAGCAAGGGGGGCCAUCGCCGUGUCCCGGGUCAGUGGUGCAGGAGGCCUGGCAGCUGAGCAGUGAUGCUGAGAAGGGCCAGGAAAUGUGCCAGAUUCCUUAGAGACACGUAUCUCAUUCCACUACUGCUCUGUAUUACAAACCCAUUUUCCAGAUGAGGAUACUGAGGUGCAAAGGUUUCAGAAACUAAUUCCUACGCACAAAGCUUCCUAAUUGGGCCCUGUUGAAGAUUUUGAUUCCACUGGGAUUUCCUCUCCCUCGGUGAUGGGAGGACUUGUUUGCUAGGAAAGGCUGGGCAGAGCUGAUGAAGGAAGUAGGGUGAAUGUCUACUGCGAAAACAGCCCAGACCAGGCUGAAUCUCCAUAUUCACUGUUCACAGAUCACACACAGACCUGCUCCCUGCAAAUAUAUUUCCUGAGUUCUUCUCUGUCCAACUUAAGCUUUUUGGUUUAUUGCUCAAGUCUUUGAAAUCCCUCAAACAGCAGAGAAAAAAAGCUUCCACCCCCAGGCUGUCAGAGGGGGAGUCCAAAGCAGCACACAACAGGCAUGAAAGUUUUUGGAAGUCACCUGUUUUUAUCUUUAAAAUGUCUACGAAUGUUGUUGUCUGCUUCACAAUGUAUCUACGCUUAUUUUUAACGUUUAAAACUAUGUUUUAAACUGCAGCCAAGUAUUACUACUUGAAGGCACAGGGUAAAAAGUUUAUCUUCCUGAAUCGUCUCUUGUAAUAUCCCGGGUACUUUGUACUGUCACUUACUCUGUGCCAGGCACGGUUCUAAGCGUGUUACUCACUCCAGUGACCUCUUGGUGAGGUCUCAUUCUCUCCAUCACCAGAUGAGGAGCUGCAUACUCAGAGGAGGUGGUCGACUUGCCCAAGGACACACAGUACUUGGCAUAGUCAGGAUUUGAACCAGAUCCAUCUAUUUCAACACCAGGCACGAGGUCACUGCUGAUACCCCUGAGGUUUGGUAGCCCAGCUUGGAAAGCAGAUCUGGAUGGUGUCUGAAAGUUCAUUCAGAAAAACAUCAUUGCUCACUGUUCAGGUGGACUGACCCCAAAGCAUGCCCAGUUUUCAGUUCUGGAGGCUGGGGGGCGGGGGUGUCUUGGGGAGGAGGGGGACAGGGAGGAAGCUGAGAGGAGGAAGGUGAUGCGAUUUUGAGACUGAGCCUUGGAGGCUGGCUGUCCUGUGCAAAGUCCCACUAGGACUCAGGUUGGUGCCUGGGCAAUGGCCAGCCCCCGGGUUUCUGGGCUUUGGGGGCAGAAGGGACAUAACACCUGCAGCGGCACCCAACUUAGUGCUGAGGAACGGGGGUCCAUUUUCAGCCAUUGCUGGAAGGACUUGGUAUGAAAGAGCCAGUGCAAAACCCAAUUAGAGAACAGCACCUCCAAGAGGAAAACCUGUAGGGCCCGCUCUCCAGAUGGAACCACCUGCAGGAGGCUGCAACUUGGUGGGUGCCUGAAAGCUAUGGCCAGUCCCACGCACAUCAAUCACUCAAAGUUUCUGCAGACCCCACCAGGCCACAGGCAGGCUUAGGAAGUGAGGAAGAAAGAACAUGCUAAGGUUAAGAAGACAGAGUGGCUAGAGCUGAGAGAUGCUGAGAAUGCCAGCCACCAGCGUCGGCUAAAAGUCUGUCCUGCUUCACAGCAGAAAAAGGGCCUACCCAGCCUUCCCAGGAACAAUCAAGGGUUUAAAUCCUCUUCCCUGUGGUCCAGCCUUCCUGCAAUUCUAAUUUAAAUUGCAGUCUACUACUGUGGCAGUUCAAUUCCUGAUUACCUUUCUGACAAAGUAAAUCAGCCCCAAACUACCUCUCCAAAUAAUACCCUUUGCAUGUUAAAUAGUUUGGUUUUUUUUUGUUUGCUGGUUGUUUUUUUAAGAUGGAAAGUAUCGUGCCCCAGACCCAGAAGGCAGUUGGUCACCUCUUUCCUUUUCUCCCAAAGUUCUAACCUGUAAUCACAGGAGGGCAAUAGGAGCUGAACACGGGACUGAAGAGACCUUAUUUGAGGUGUCUCCCCUUUUCUGAUCGAUUGCUUGACAUUUUGCCGUCUCUCAUUUCCUGCUCUCCUCCAGGCCAGGGGAAAAUUCAGUUUGGGUCAUUUUCACUCAAUGUAACAAGAGGCCAAGAUUCAGGAAAGGAGGAGAAUGAGUUCAUUUGCAACCUCAGGGACAGAAGCAGCAUCUCAUUGCAAAUCCAAAAUCAGUUAAGAGGCAAGGAGCAAAGACUAAGUGUAAAUUGUCAAGAACCAGCCUGGGAAAAAGGUUAAUCUGGAGCUUCAGGGACCCUGUGUGAGGACAGAGAUCAUUCAGGACCUGUUCAAUAUGGUAAAAGCCAGUCAUCUCCCCAGGAUACAGGGGUACCUGGUGCCAUAAGGGAUGAAGGAACCAUUGGAGGGAAGAGUAAUUUCUAGUAAAUCGCGUAAUAACUAAUUGUUAAUUAACAUUUGCUGAGUUCUCCUUUGCCAGACACUGUACCAAGUAUUUUGUGUAUAUUUCUUGUUUCUUUUAAAAACUUAAAAGCACUGUGAAUAAAGAGUUUUUCUGUCUUACAGAUGAGGAAAGUGAUAUUCAAAAGAUAAGUGAAUCAGAGUUCUCGUCGUGGCUCAGUGGAAAUGAACCCGAUUAGUACUCACGAGGACUCAGGUUCAAUCCCUGGUUUUGCUCAGUGGGUUAAGGAUCCAGCGUUAUUGUGAGCUGUGGUGUGGUCACAGACGCGGCUCAGAUCCUGCGUGGCUAUGGCUGUGUUGUAGGCCGGUGGCUACAGCUCUGAUUUGACCUCUAGCCUGGGAACCUCCAUAUGCCAUGGGUGCGGCCCUAAAAAGACAAAGAAAAAUGUUUUUUAAAAAGAUAAGUGAUUUGGCCAAGAUCCCAGGAGCAACAUGUGCUGGAACUGGGACUCCAGCUCAAGUGUGUAACUCAAAAUCCUUUCAUCUUACCUGUCACGUUUUUAUUGUCUCUUUGUCCUGCUGGUAAUAACUUUACUAUUGUUGUCUUGAGUUGAUAGUUAAACCUUAGAUUAUUUCAAAUUUCAUUUAUGAACAGCUCAGGUUUCCUACCGGGUUAUGAUUUCCAUCGGGAAGAGUCAGUUUUAUGCUUUUCUAAUAUCCAUC